rnacentral:rRNA from 1 species
UACGAAGGGGGCUAGCGUUGCUCGGAAUUACUGGGCGUAAAGGGUGCGUAGGCGGGUCUUUAAGUCAGAGGUGAAAUCCUGGAGCUCAACUCCAGAACUGCCUUUGAUACUGAGGAUCUUGAGUUCGGGAGAGGUGAGUGGAACUGCGAGUGUAGAGGUGAAAUUCGUAGAUAUUCGGAGGAACACCAGUGGCGAAGGCGGCUCACUGGUCCAUUACUGACGCUGAGGUGCGAAAGCGUGGGGAGCAAACAGG